rnacentral:lncRNA from 1 species
AGGGAAGUUCAACUCCUUUGUGACUUCUGACAGCAAGAAAGAACCAUAAAAGGUAUUUCAAUGCACCUUCCCAUGUUCACAGAACAAUUAUGUCUUCCCUCUUUCCAAAGAGCUGAGAUAGAAGUACAAUGUUUGAUCCAUGCCCAUCUGAAAGGAUGAUGAAGUUCAGGUUGUGUGAGGACACUAAAAAGUUCAGCAAGUUGGCAAAGUGGUCCAAGGUUACAGGAAGAAUUAUGUCAUUUACAUUGAACGGGUGCAGCAGAAAAAGACUGGGCUAAUAGGACAACUAUUCGUUUGGGCAUUGCCCCAGCAAGGUGGUUAUUAGGUUGGAAGUGAAAAAAACCCACAAAAGAUCCUUGAAUGGAAAGCCAAAUCUCACCAAGUGGGAAAGGAACAGGACAAACAUAAGAUAGAAACGAUAGAGAUGGUGCAG